GAAAUGCGAUAAGUAAUGUGAAUUGCAGAAUUCCGUGAAUCAUCGAAUCUUUGAACGCACAUUGCGCCCUCUGGCAUUCCGGGGGGCAUGCCUGUCCGAGCGUCAUUACGCACCCUCAAGCCCGGCUUGUGUGAUGGGCCCUGGCGUCUCGUUCGCGAGACGGGCCCGAAAGGCAGCGGCGGCGUCGACCCGUUGAGCCCGAGCGUAUGGGGACUUUUGUCACACGUUUGCGGUGCGGACCGGCGCCUGCUUGACUUUUCUGAUUAUCCAGGUUGACCUCGGAUCAGGUAGGGAUACCCGCUGAACUUAAGC
rnacentral:misc_RNA from 1 species